AAAAUGCAUUCCUCUUUUGUUUUUGAAAUUGGAUGGAUUAAUCAUCCAGAGUUUAAACAGAUCAUUGAAAGGAUUUGGAGUAAACCUUGCAGAGCUAAAAGUCCUUUGGAUAAGAUUCAACAAAAAAUGAAGCUGUGUAAACAGUACCUCAAAGGAUGGGAUUGGAAUCUCAAAGGUAUGAAAAAAAAGAGAAGGGAUCAGAUUGCCUCUGAGUUGAAAAAAUUAGAAGAAAUUGAAGAAUCUGACCUUUUGAACAGUAAUCAGAUUGAUUAUAGAUGUUCUCUUAUGACUGAAAUUUUGAUGAUGCUUGAUGAGGAAGAGCUAUUCUGGAAGCAGAGGGCUCAUGAAAAUUGGC
rnacentral:misc_RNA from 1 species